CGAGUCGACGGAACUCUCCGGAGUUCAGUGGCGGACGGGUGAGUAACGCGUGAGAAUCUGCCAAAAGGACUGGGAUAACAGGAGGAAACUCCUGCUAAUACCGGAUGUGCCGCAACGUGAAAGGAGAAAUCCGCCUUUUGAAGAGCUCGCGUCUGAUUAGCUAGUUGGUGAGGUAAGAGCUCACCAAGGCGACGAUCAGUAGCUGGUCUGAGAGGAUGACCAGCCACACUGGGACUGAGACACGGCCCAGACUCCUACGGGAGGCAGCAGUGGGGAAUUUUCCGCAAUGGGCGAAAGCCUGACGGAGCAAGACCGCGUGGGGGAGGAAGGCUCUUGGGUUGUAAACCCCUUUUCUCAGGGAAGAAGAUCUGACGGUACCUGAGGAAUCAGCCUCGGCUAACUCCGUGCCAGCAGCCGCGGUAAUACGGAGGAGGCAAGCGUUAUCCGGAAUUAUUGGGCGUAAAGCGUCCGCAGGUGGCUCGUCAAGUCUGCGGUCAAAAACCGAGGCUUAACUUCGGCAAGGCCGUGGAAACUGAAGAGCUAGAGAGCCGUAGGGGUAGAGGGAAUUCCCGGUGUAGCGGUGAAAUGCGUAGAGAUCGGGAAGAACAUCGGUGGCGAAAGCGCUCUACUGGACGGUGUCUGACACUCAGGGACGAAAGCUAGGGGAGCGAAUGGGAUUAGAUACCCCAGUAGUCCUAGCUGUAAACGAUGGAUACUAGAUGUUGUCCGUAUCGACCCGGACAGUGUCGUAGCUAACGCGUUAAGUAUCCCGCCUGGGGAGUACGCACGCA
rnacentral:rRNA from 1 species